UACAGAGGUCCCAAGCGUUGUUCGGAUUCACUGGGCGUAAAGGGCGCGUAGGCGGUUGGGUAAGUCUGACGUGAAAUCUCCGGGCCUAACCCGGAAACUGCGUUGGAUACUAUCCGGCUAGAGGAAUGGAGGGGGGACUGGAAUACUUGGUGUAGCAGUGAAAUGCGUAGAUAUCAAGUGGAACACCAGUGGCGAAGGCGAGUCUCUGGACAUUUCCUGACGCUGAGGCACGAAAGCCAGGGGAGCAAACGGG
rnacentral:rRNA from 1 species